rnacentral:rRNA from 1 species
GACGAACGCUGGCGGCGUGCCUAAUACAUGCAAGUCGAGCGAAGUUUUUCUGGUGCUUGCACCGGAAAAACUUAGCGGCGAACGGGUGAGUAACACGUAAAGAACCUGCCUCAUAGACGGGGACAACUAUUGGAAACGAUAGCUAAUACCGGAUAACAGCAUUAACUGCAUGGUUGAUGUUUAAAAGUUGGUUUUGCUAACACUAUGAGAUGGCUUUGCGGUGCAUUAGCUAGUUGGUGGGGUAAAGGCCUACCAAGGCGACGAUGCAUAGCCGACCUGAGGGGGUGAUCGGCCACACUGGGACUGAGACACGGCCCAGACUCCUACGGGAGGCAGCAGUAGGGAAUCUUCCGCAAUGGGCGAAAGCCUGACGGAGCAACGCCGCGUGAGUGAAGAAGGAUUUCGGUUCGUAAAGCUCUGUUGUUAGGGAAGAAUGAUUGUGUAGUAACUAUACACAGUAGAGACGGUACCUAACCAGAAAGCCACGGCUAACUACGUG